rnacentral:tRNA from 1 species
GGGGAUUUAGCUCAGAGGUAGAGUGCUUGCCUAGCAAGCGCAAGGCCCUGGGUUCGAUCCCCAGCUCUG